GCUGAACCUGGGAAGCAGCACACAGCUGGCCAGUGAGCGGGAUCUACAGAGAAUGAAGGAGUUGGGAGGGACUGCGAAUGAAGACUGUGUUUCUCUGUGUAGCCCCGGCUGUCCUGGAACACCACUCUGUAGACCAGGCUGGGAUUAAAGGCAUGUGCCACCACCACCUUCUGGUAUGUAGUGUUCAAAGGACAUUUGCAGGACAGUUUUGUGGCUGUAGUUCUCUUUCCACCAAGAAGGUCCAGGGAACUGAACUGAGGUCACCAGGCCAGGUGGUUAUACCAUUACUUGCUAGUCUUCUCACCAGAUCAAGACAUUGAGGAGUUUGUCCCCAGAGCGAUUACCUCUCAUUUCCUCUUUUAGGGGCCUUUUCUGCUGUUCCGGGCCUCCCUCCGCCUCCACCUCAGGCAAGAGCAAUGAAAGAAUGGGAAAUCGAAAACGUGUCCCUGGCCUAGGAGGGAAUUUCUCUAUCUGGACUCUCCAGCCUUCUGCUUCUGGGGUCCUAAGAGGUUCCUGACAGGAAGCCCC
rnacentral:lncRNA from 1 species